rnacentral:rRNA from 1 species
CCUACGGGAGGCAGCAGUGGGGAAUAUUGCACAAUGGGCGAAAGCCUGAUGCAGCGACGCCGCGUGAGGGAUGACGGCCUUCGGGUUGUAAACCUCUUUCAGCAGGGAAGAAGCGAAAGUGACGGUACCUGCAGAAGAAGCGCCGGCUAACUACGUGCCAGCAGCCGCGGUAAUACGUAGGGCGCAAGCGUUGUCCGGAAUUAUUGGGCGUAAAGAGCUCGUAGGCGGCUUGUCACGUCGGUUGUGAAAGCCCGGGGCUUAACCCCGGGUCUGCAGUCGAUACGGGCAGGCUAGAGUGUGGUAGGGGAGAUCGGAAUUCCUGGUGUAGCGGUGAAAUGCGCAGAUAUCAGGAGGAACACCGGUGGCGAAGGCGGAUCUCUGGGCCAUUACUGACGCUGAGGAGCGAAAGCGUGGGGAGCGAACAGGAUUAGAUACCCUGGUAGUCCACGCCGUAAACGGUGGGAACUAGGUGUUGGCGACAUUCCACGUCGUCGGUGCCGCAGCUAACGCAUUAAGUUCCCCGCCUGGGGAGUACGGCCGCAAGGCUAAAACUUAAAUGAAUUGACGG